GCCCCGCCCCGGUCUUCGCCUCGGUCCGCGUCCCUGCAGCCUGCGAUCCGGGGUCGCAGUCCUGUCUCGGGUCCGAGGAAGGCUCGUGCGCCCCCAGGUGGUCAGCAGUGGGAAAGGCGAACAGGCAGAAGUCUGGAUUCCAGAAGCUAGUUGUGUAAAAUAAGCUGAAGAAAGGCAAGUUACUGAGGGACAAGGGACCCGGCCAAGGGGAGUGCAAAGGCUGGUGAGGAAGACUCGAACACAGCCCAAGUGGACUGCAGCGCCUCCAGGAGGAAAGACCUGAGGCUUAGCCCGUCCUGGCCCUCAGGGCUGCUAUGACCCUUGUACUGGAGGCAGCCCAGCCGGGCUGUGUCGUUCGGUCAGAGGAGACACGGGAACCAGAGAACUGAAGGGGAAGAUCCUCUCUGCUCCUCCAUGGCAACUCUUCCCCACCGCAGGGAGGGUGGAGAACACACUUCCUGAGUCGUGCUUUUCACCCCCUUACCCUUUGCAUUAGUUAUCUAUUGCCACGUAACAAAUUGCCCUAAAACAGAAUGAAACAGCAUUAUCUUUAUGCUUUCUGUGAUUCAGGAACGCGGGUGCAGUUUAGUGGGGUGCCUCUGCCUCGAGACUGUAGUUACGGUGUGCCUGGGGGCUAUGCCUUAUCUCAGGGCUUGUCUGGGAAAGAACCUGCUUCUGAAGUCACUCACAUGGUUGCUGGCAGGACUCGGUUCAUCGGGGCUGUUCCUAACCCCAUGGGCCCCUUCCUAAGGCAGCUCAAGUCCAUCAGACCAAGCAGGUGAGAUGGAGAGAGAGAAGCCAAAACGUGUUUAGAACCUAACCUCACUGUGACAUCAGUUUAGCCGUAUUCUAUUGAUUAAAAGUGCAUCCCACCUCCCAGAAUGGUGGAAAUAAAGACAAGAGUAAACAAGCAGGACCUGAUAAAACUUAGAAGAUUUUGCACAGCAAAGGAAACUAUAACAGGGUUAAAAACACAACCCUCAGAAUGGGAGAAAAUAAUAGCAAAUUAAACAACUGACAAAGGAUUGA